rnacentral:rRNA from 1 species
UCUGGCGACCGGCGCACGGGUGAGUAACACGUAUCCAACCUGCCGAUAACUCGGGGAUAGCCUUUCGAAAGAAAGAUUAAUACCCGAUGGCAUAAUUAGACCGCAUGGUCUUAUUAUUAAAGAAUUUCGGUUAUCGAUGGGGAUGCGUUCCAUUAGGCAGUUGGUGAGGUAACGGCUCACCAAACCUUCGAUGGAUAGGGGUUCUGAGAGGAAGGUCCCCCACAUUGGAACUGAGACACGGUCCAA